AGGGUGCUGGGGAGGAAGAAGAGGAAAACAAGGACAAGGAGGCGGCCCAAGUUGGAAAUCCGAUCAGUAGACCAGAUUUACCAGCUAAGAGGUGAAAACAGACAGCAAAGAUCUCAUCAACUCCUUGCCCUCUCUUUCCUUAAAGCCUGCUCAGCAGCCCUGGUAACCAGGAAACAGCUUCAUUAGCCUGCCACCAGGUAGCUGGACACUGCUCCUUGUAGGGAGGGACAUGUCUACCAACUCUGCUGUAUAGUACUCUCCCAUACGCUUACUACAAUGCUCUGCACUGUACAGUAAGCACUCAAUACAUGUCAUUGAUGAUGAUAAUGACUGCCUGGGCAAAACAGCUAAUAAAAUAGGCCACAGAAAA